rnacentral:rRNA from 1 species
GACGAACGCUGGCGGCGUGCCUAAUACAUGCAAGUAGAACGCACAGUUUAUACCGUAGCUUGCUACACCAUAAACUGUGAGUUGCGAACGGGUGAGUAACGCGUAGGUAACCUGCCUGGUAGCGGGGGAUAACUAUUGGAAACGAUAGCUAAUACCGCAUAAUAUUGAUUAUUGCAUGAUAAUUGAUUGAAAGAUGCUAUUGCAUCACUACCAGAUGGACCUGCGUUGUAUUAGCUAGUAGGUGAGGUAACGGCUCACCUAGGCGACGAUACAUAGCCGACCUGAGAGGGUGAUCGGCCACACUGGGACUGGGACACGGCCCAGACUCCUACGGGAGGCAGCAGUAGGGAAUCUUCGGCAAUGGACGAAAGUCUGACCGAGCAACGCCGCGUGAGGGAAGAAGGUUUUCGGAUCGUAAAGCUCUGUUGUAAGAGAAGAACGGGUGUGAGAGUGGAAAGUUCACACUGUGACGGUAUCUUACCAGAAAGGGACGGCUAACUACGUG